UGAGUACCUCUCUCACACCAACUUUGGGU
rnacentral:piRNA from 1 species